AUUGAACGCUGGCGGCAGGCCUAACACAUGCAAGUCGAGCGAGCGGCGGACGGGGGAGUACUGUAUGGGGACUGCCCGAUAGCGGGGGAUAACUACUGGAAACGGUAUCUAAUACCGCAUACUAUCGGAUAACCCAUAUGGGAGUGGCUAGUAGGUGAGGUAAUGGCUCACCUAGGCGACGAACCCUAGCUGGUCUGAGAGGUUGAUCAGCCACACUGGGACUGAGACACGGCCCAGACUCCUACGGAGGCAGCAGUGGGGAAUAGUGCACAAUGGGCGAAAGCCUGAUGCAGCCAUGCCGCGUGUAUGAAGAAGGCCCUAGGGUUGUAAAGUACUUUUAGUAGGGAGGCGUUACCGACAGAAGAAGCACCGGCUAACUCCGUGCCAGCAGCCGCGGUAAUUC
rnacentral:rRNA from 1 species